rnacentral:piRNA from 1 species
UAAAUGCAGCUCUUGACAGUCCAGACAGA